UGCGCAGGCGGAAUGAUCAGUCAGUGGUGAAAACCUACAGCUCAACUGUAGACCUGCCAUUGAUACUGUCAUUCUUGAGUACAGUGGAAGUGGGCGGAAUGUAUCAUGUAGCGGUGAAAUGCAUAGAUAUGAUACAGAACUCCGAUAGCGUAAGCAGCUCACUAUACUGUAACUGACGCUCAGGCACGAAAGCGUGGGGAGCGAACAGGAUUAGAUACCCUGGUAGUCC
rnacentral:rRNA from 1 species